UUUCCAUCUGAUCAGGUUUUGGUGGAGAGCAGUGUCUAUGUUUUGUGGUCUCAACUGAAGACUUAAUUACAGCUCUUCUAUUACUCCACAAGUGCUACCAAAGAGAGUUGCAAGAGCAUUCAGCAAUAUUCAAGGAGGAACAACAUCAGUGUUUCAAAUGAACUCACUGACUGAACUAGCAUUGCUGCACAUCACACCCAGGUAUUUUGCCACCAACCUCAAUGUGCCUCUUGCUGUGUGAAGUCCUUUCGAGCAGUAACUCCCCUGCCAGCUUGAGCAGUAUUACAGAAGAAAGAGUUCUCAGUGUCACAGCAGGACUCCAGCAAGAUGGUAUUCCAGUUCCUGGAAUCAGGCACCUGUGCAAAACAGCUCUGAUGAGUUACAAAUCAUCAGGACCCCGCUGAUUUCACUAGAAUUUCUGAGUGCUCUUAGGUGUCUUCCUCCUGCUU
rnacentral:lncRNA from 1 species